rnacentral:rRNA from 1 species
UUGAACGCUGGCGGCAUGCUUUACACAUGCAAGUCGAGCGGCAGCGCGGGCGCAACCCUGGCGGCGAGCGGCGAACGGGUGAGUAACAUAUCGGAACGUACCCUGUCGUGGGGGAUAACACCGCGAAAGCUGUGCUAAUACCGCAUACGACCUGAGGGUGAAAGCGGGGGAUCGCCAGACCUCGCGCGAUAGGAGCGGCCGAUAUCGGAUUAGCUUGUUGGUGAGGUAAAGGCUCACCAAGGCGACGAUCCGUAGCUGGUCUGAGAGGACGACCAGCCACACUGGAACUGAGACACGGUCCAGACUCCUACGGGAGGCAGCAGUGGGGAAUUUUGGACAAUGGGGGCAAGCCUGAUCCAGCCAUGCCGCGUGAGUGAAGAAGGCCUUCGGGUUGUAAAGCUCUUUCAGCAGGAACGAAACGGUGGCUACUAAUACUAGCUACUAAUGACGGUACCUGAAGAAGAAGCACCGGCUAACUACGU